AUUGAACGCUGGCGGCAUGCCUUACACAUGCAAGUCGAACGGCAGCGCGGACUUCGGUCUGGCGGCGAGUGGCGAACGGGUGAGUAAUACAUCGGAACAUGUCCAGUAGUGGGGGAUAGCCCGGCGAAAGCCGGAUUAAUACCGCAUACGAUCUUUGGAUGAAAGCGGGGGAUCGCAAGACCUCGCGCUAUUGGGGUGGCCGAUGGCGGAUUAGGUAGUUGGUGGGGUAAAGGCCUACCAAGCCGACGAUCCGUAGCUGGUCUGAGAGGACGACCAGCCACACUGGGACUGAGACACGGCCCAGACUCCUACGGGAGGCAGCAGUGGGGAAUUUUGGACAAUGGGGGCAACCCUGAUCCAGCAAUGCCGCGUGUGUGAAGAAGGCCUUCGGGUUGUAAAGCACUUUUGUCCGGAAAGAAAACCUUCGCUCUAAUACAGUGGGGGGAUGACG
rnacentral:rRNA from 1 species